CUAAUGAUAACAGUAUUUUUUUUAAACAUAAAAAACUUACAAUGCACUGUUCCAAAUUAUUACGCACAGUAAGUUUCAAAACACUUUAUAGGUUGUAAAGAACUGAAAAUUUUCAUUUGUUGUGUUUGCAGCAUAUUUACUGAAAUAAAAAGCUAUUUCAAUCAAACUUAUAAAAACAUUUUAACUUUUUAAACAUUUUAACAGGUCACGUUACAUACAUAGGACCCCUUAUUUGAUAGCAGCUUCACAAGUCUUGCAUCCAUUGAACUUGUGAGUUUUUGGACAGUUUCUGUUUGAAUUUGUUUGCAAGAUGUCAGAAUAGCCUCCCAGAGCUGCUGUUUGGAUGUAAGCUGUCUCCCACCCUCAUAGAUCUUUUGCUCGAGGAUGCUCCAAAGGUUCUCAAUAGGAUUGUGGUAAGGGAAGGAUGGAGGCCACACCAUGACUUUCUCUCCUUUUAUCCCCAUAGCAGCCAUUGAUGCAGAGGUAUUCUUUGCAGCAUAAGAUGGUGCACUGUCAUGCAUGAAGAUGAUUUUAUUACGGAAAGCAUAGUUCUUCCUUAUGUACCAGGGAAGAAAGUGGUCAGCAAGAAAAUCCACAUACUUUGCAGAGGUAAUCUUUACACCUUCGGGGACCCUAAGGGUCCUAUGAUUCCAGCUCAAAACCUGACUCCACCUCCACUACUCCAUCCAUCUGGACCAUCCAGAGUUGCACGGCACUCAUCAGUGAAAAGGACUGUUUGAAAAUUAGUCUUCAUGUAUUUUUCUGCCCAAUGCAGCUGUUUUUGCUUGUGAGCAUUGGUUAGUGGUGG